rnacentral:rRNA from 1 species
ACUACGGGGUGCAGCAGUGGGGAAUAUUGGACAAUGGGCGAAAGCCUGAUCCAGCCAUGCCGCGUGUGUGAAGAAGGCCUUCGGGUUGUAAAGCACUUUCAGUGGGGAAGAAAGCCUUGGGGCUAAUACCCUCGAGGAAGGACAUCACCCACAGAAGAAGCACCGGCUAACUCCGUGCCAGCAGCCGCGGUAAUACGGAGGGUGCGAGCGUUAAUCGGAAUUACUGGGCGUAAAGCGCGCGUAGGCGGUCUGAUAAGCCGGUUGUGAAAGCCCCGGGCUCAACCUGGGAACGGCAUCCGGAACUGUCAGGCUAGAGUGCAGGAGAGGAAGGUAGAAUUCCCGGUGUAGCGGUGAAAUGCGUAGAGAUCGGGAGGAAUACCAGUGGCGAAGGCGGCCUUCUGGACUGACACUGACGCUGAGGUGCGAAAGCGUGGGUAGCAAACAGGAUUAGAUACCCCUGUAGUC